GACGAACGCUGGCGGCGUGCUUAACACAUGCAAGUCGAACGGAAAGGCCCUGCUUUUGUGGGGUGCUCGAGUGGCGAACGGGUGAGUAACACGUGAGUAACCUGCCCUUGACUUUGGGAUAACUUCAGGAAACUGGGGCUAAUACCGGAUAGGAGCUCCUGCUGCAUGGUGGGGGUUGGAAAGUUUCGGCGGUUGGGGAUGGACUCGCGGCUUAUCAGCUUGUUGGUGGGGUAGUGGCUUACCAAGGCUUUGACGGGUCGCCGGCCUGAGAGGGUGACCGGCCACAGUGGGACUGAGAUACGGCCCAGACUGCUACGGGAGGCAGCAGUGGGGAAUAUUGCACAAUGGGCGGAAGCCUGAUGCAGCAACGCCGCGUGCGGGAUGACGGCCUGCGGGGUGUAAACCGCUUUCGCCUGUGACGAAGCGUGAGUGACGGUAAUGGGUAAAGAAGCACCGGCUAACUACGUG
rnacentral:rRNA from 1 species